rnacentral:rRNA from 1 species
UACAGAGGUCUCAAGCGUUGUUCGGAUUCAUUGGGCGUAAAGGGUGCGUAGGCGGCGCGGUAAGUCGGGUGUGAAAUCUCGGGGCUUAACUCCGAAACUGCAUUCGAUACUGCCGUGCUUGAGGACUGGAGAGGAGACUGGAAUUUACGGCGUAGCGGUGAAAUGCGUAGAUAUCGUAAGGAAGACCAGUGGCGAAGGCGGGUCUCUGGACAGUUCCUGACGCUGAGGCACGAAGGCCAGGGGAGCAAACGGG